rnacentral:rRNA from 1 species
AUUGAACGCUGGCGGCAUGCCUUACACAUGCAAGUCGAACGGCAGCAUGAUCUAGCUUGCUAGAUUGAUGGCGAGUGGCGAACGGGUGAGUAAUACAUCGGAACGUGCCCUGUAGUGGGGGUUAACUAGUCGAAAGAUUAGCUAAUACCGCAUACGACCUGAGGGUGAAAGUGGGGGACCGCAAGGCCUCAUGCUAUAGGAGCGGCCGAUGUCUGAUUAGCGAGUUGGUGAGGUAAAGGCUCACCAAGGCGACGAUCAGUAGCUGGUCUGAGGGGACGAUCAGCCACACUGGGACUGAGACACGGCCCAGACUCCUACGGGAGGCAGCAGUGGGGAAUUUUGGACAAUGGGGGCAACCCUGAUCCAGCAAUGCCGCGUGUGUGAAGAAGGCCUUCGGGUUGUAAAGCACUUUUGUCCGGAAAGAAAUCGCACUUACUAAUAUUAGGUGUGGAUGACGGUACCGGAAGAAUAAGGACCGGCUAACUACGUGCCAGCAGCCGCCGUAACAC